ACUGCACCAUGGCGGGGCUGACUUCUGUAUAUGCUGUUUCCUAGGCUUCCAUAUCAGUACUCCUUCUGAGUUCAGCCAAUGUGAGCUACAGAUGGAAGAAUGGAGGCCUAGUCAGCAAAGAGCACCCAUCUGCAGUUCACUGUUGGUGCUCUAGGCUGGGGAGUGUGGUGUGGGGUUGAAUACUCACACUCUUCAGGGGAAAACUGUUCAAUUGAGAUAUCCCUCCACAAUCUCAGCUGCUACUCAUUUGCAGUUCAAGUUUGGUCCUGGGAGGUGAAUGUAACAUCCACCUAUGCCACCAAUUUGGAUCCUCAACAAUGGAUUAAACAGUAAUAUUCUCAUACUACAAAUGAAGAAAUUUAUUCAUAAGAAGAUGAAUAAUCCCUGUCUGGUGUGACUCAGUGGAUUGAGCACGUGCCUGCGAAGCAAAGGGUCACUGGCUUGAUUCCCAGUCAGGACACAUGCCUGGGUUGCAGGCCAAGUCCCCCGAUGGGGGUUGUGUGAGAGGUAACCACACAUUGAUGUUUCUCUCCCUCUCUUUCUCACUCU